rnacentral:rRNA from 1 species
AGUGAACGCUGGCGGUAGGCCUAACACAUGCAAGUCGAACGGCAGCACAGUAAGAGCUUGCUCUUACGGGUGGCGAGUGGCGGACGGGUGAGGAAUACAUCGGAAUCUACUUUUUCGUGGGGGAUAACGUAGGGAAACUUACGCUAAUACCGCAUACGACCUACGGGUGAAAGCAGGGGAUCUUCGGACCUUGCGCGAUUGAAUGAGCCGAUGUUGGAUUAGCUAGUUGGCGGGGUAGAGGCCCACCAAGGCGACGAUCCGUAGGUGGUCUGAGAGGAUGGUUAGAUAGCCUGGAACUGAGGAAGGGCCCAGACUCCUACGGGAGGACGCAGUGGGGAAUAUUGGACGAUGGGCGCAAGCCUGAUCCAGGCAUACCGCGUGGGUGAUGAUGGACUUCGGGUUGUAAAGCCAUUUUGUUGGGAAAGAAAAGCAGCAGGUUAAUACCCCGCUGUUCUGACGGUACCCAAAGAAUAAGCACCGGCUAACUUCGUG